AGUAUCACUCUGCAGUGGAAUAAAGUCAGCAGCAACACCAGCUUUGUUCUCCAGUUUAAUGGCACAGAGACAAACAUCAGUGCACCAGAUGGAGAUGGACCGGUGAACCAUACAGUCUCAUUUCUCUUUGCUGGAACUAAAUACACAUUCAUGCUCUUUUCUGUGUUUGAAAACAUCAGAAGCAGUGGAGUACAACUUAGCGCUGUCACCGCUCCCAAAAACGCAGAGGCUGUGAGAGUAUCAGAACAAAAUGAGACCAGCAUCACUCUGCAGUGGAAUAAAGUCAGCAGCAACACCAGCUUUGUUCUCCAGUUUAAUGGCACAGAGACAAACAUCAGUGCACCAGAUGGAGAUGGACCAGUGAACCAUACAGUCUCAUUUCUCUCUGCUGGAACUAAAUACACAUUCAUGCUCUUUUCUGUGUUUGAAAACAUCAGAAGCAGUGGAGUACAACUUAGCGCUGUCACCGCUCCCAAAAACGCAGAGGCUGUGAGAGUAUCAGAACAAAACGAGACCAGUAUCACUCUGCAGUGGAAUAAAGUCAGCAGCAACACCAGCUUUGUUCUCCAGUUUAAUGGCACAGAGACAAACAUCAGUGCACCAGAUGGAGAUGGACCAGUGAACCAUACAGUCUCAUUUCUC